rnacentral:rRNA from 1 species
CCUACGGGGGGCUGCAGUGGGGAAUAUUGCGCAAUGGGCGAAAGCCUGACGCAGCGACGCCGCGUGAGGGAUGAAGGUCUUCGGAUCGUAAACCUCUGUCAGCAGGGAAGAACGGUCACUGUGCUAAUCAGCAGUGAAUUGACGGUACCUGCAAAGGAAGCACCGGCUAACUCCGUGCCAGCAGCCGCGGUAAUACGGAGGGUGCGAGCGUUAAUCGGAAUUACUGGGCGUAAAGCGCUCGUAGGCGGUAUGUCAAGUCAAGGGUGAAAUCCCCGCGCUCAACGUGGGAACUGACUUUGAAACUGGCAAACUGGAGUGUGUGAGAGGAGAGUGGAAUUCCAGGUGUAGGAGUGAAAGCCGUAGAUAUCUGGAGGAACAUCAGUGGCGAAGGCGACUAUCUGGCACAUAACUGACGCUGAGGAGCGAAAGCGUGGGUAGCAAACAGGAUUAGAUACCCUAGUAGUC